GACGAACCGUCCAAACGUUAUUCGGAAUCACUGGGCUUACAGAGUUCGUAGGCGGUCCCAAAAGUUAGGUGUGAAAUCCCUCGGCUCAACCGAGGAACUGCGCUUAAAACUGUGGGACUCGAGGGAGAUAGAGGAAAGCGGAACUGAUGGUGGAGCGGUGAAAUGCGUUGAUAUCAUCAGGAACACCGGAGGCGAAGGCGGCUCACUGGGGCUUUUCGUGACGCUGAGGAACGAAAGCCAGGGGAGCGAACGGG
rnacentral:rRNA from 1 species